UACGUAGGGGGCUAGCGUUGUCCGGAAUCAUUGGGCGUAAAGAGCGCGUAGGCGGCCAGAUAAGUCCGGUGUGAAAGUCAAAGGCUCAACCUUUGAAUGCCGCUGGAAACUGUCUGGCUAGAGUCCGGGAGGGGCGAGUGGAAUUCCUGGUGUAGCGGUGAAAUGCGCAGAUAUACAGGAGGAACACCGGUGGCGAAGGCGGAUCUCUGGGCCAUUACUGACGCUGGAGGAGCGAAAGCGUGGGGAGCGAACAGG
rnacentral:rRNA from 1 species